UUUUUUUUUUUUUUUUUUUUUUUUUGUCUUUUUGCCUUUUCUAGGGCCCCUCCCACAGCAUAUGAAGGUUCCCAGGUUAGGGGUCUAAUCGGAGCUGUAGCUGCUGGCCUACACCAGAGCCACAGCAAUGCGGGAUCCAAGCCGCGUCUGCGACCUAUACCACAGCUCAUGGCUUGGAUCUGGUGUUGCUAUGGCUGUGGUAAAGGUCGGCUGCUGUAGCUCCAAUUAUAUCCCUAGCCUUGGAACUUCCAUAUGCUGGACCUGCAGCCCUAAAAAGCAAAAACAAAACAAAAAAACAAACAAAAAUCCCCUCAUUUCAAUGUUUCUAUAUCCAAAGUUGUAUUUUCUACAUGACCUCAUCCGCCCAGAAGCAGCUCAAAAAUCUUGCAGACCACGUGCCAGAAUUGGGGAUAUGGAAAACAUGUAAGGAAAGCAACUGACCAAGAACUGUUUUGCUCUGUUCAACAGAACAGAGGCUAGAAGCCUAUGCAAGGCCCUGUGCUGGCCACUGCGGAGCCUGUCUGUGCAGGUCUAGAUUCAGGGAUCCCAGAGCGGGAAGGGCCUCAUCCACACUGCCCCAUGCAGAGCCCCAGGCCUCCUCACACUCACCCUCUGAAUGGCAGUUGGUAUAGGUGACCAUCCCUUGGCCGUAUCUUCUAAGACCCCUCUGAAGCCUCUCCCCCUCCUCUAUCUCAGCCACAGAAAGCUUUGGCUUCAACCCUGCCACUUCUCUCUCACUUUAACCCAGAUCCCGCCCCCCGCCCCGGGAAUUACCUGGGGAGCUCUGAAUAAAUGCUGAAGGGCCAGCACCCCAGAGAUCCUGAUUCACUCCCCUAGAGGGAUCUGCAAGGGACUCUAAAAGCGCCCAUGGGUGAGACUCACUGCCUCUGCUCUUCCCUGCCUGCGGUCGUCCACACUCAGGGGUUUAACCACCACCUACAAGUCAAUGGCUCUGAAACUUCCACCUGAGGCCUGGCCUCUUUCCUGAGCUUCAGACCCAUCCCUUUGGAUGCUUGCAGACAUCUCUGACCUCACACCUCGGGAACUAACGACUGAUCUCUGCACCCCAGUCUGCUCUUCCUCGGCCACCGUGACUCCCAGGAAAUGGGACUUUCCUCCCACAAACCUGAGAUCCUCCCUUCACUUUUCAAUCUCCGAGCAUCUGCAUUUUCCCAAGAACUUUUACACAGUCAUAAUCAUGGUAUAUUCGGCCCUUUUCACUUAGUGGGAACAGCUUCCCACAUGCAUAGCAUUGGGUAUUAUACUUUUAAGGGCUGCAGAAUGCUCCAUUGAAGAAACGCUGCUUAAUUUAAUUAGCUAGUCUCAUACUGUAAAGUCUUUACUUUGCUUCCAAUUUUUAGUUGUAAAUAAUGCUGCGAUGAGCAUCUUGAUGUACAGAGCCAUUCCCUGCCUUUGGAUUAUUUCCUUUGGACAGAUUCCCAGAAGGGGGAUUACUAGGUCACAGGAUAUGGACAUUUUUAUGGCUUGUGAUGCACGUUGCCAAAUUGCCCUCCAAAAGGGUGACACUAUGUUAAUGUGUCUUUGAUGAUGGCUUAUACAUGUUGGUAUGUGCUAUGACAGACCUAUGACGGUCCUUUCUGACAGUCUUUUUGAAAGACUUCUUAAAAGGUUCAUUUCCUAUUAAUUAUCAAAGUAAUAGAUACGCAUAAAGGCAAACACAGAAAUGCAUAACCAAAUAAACAGAAUAAUCCCACCUUUCCAUAGGUUCUCAGAAGACAUGAUUUCUGAAUGCCAGAAUGCUAGGAUGAGGAACUUGAGCUGAAUUUAUGCAGACGUGAGGAGGUUGUUUUAAAUCACAGUUUUACACAGAGAGAACCCUGACCUUUCUGGAGUAGUCUCUUGGGAAGAACAUUUAUGUAUUCCUGCCAAACUGUUAAGAUCAAAUCGCCUCUUUUUUUUGGCCACAUGUGAGGCAUAUGGAAGUUCCUGGGCUAGGAUCGAACCCGUGCCACAGCAAUGACCCAAACCGCUGCAGUGACGAUGCCAGAUCUUUAACCCACUGCACCACAAGGGGACUCCCAAAUCACCUCUUUUUUAAACAAACAAAAAAUCACUUUUCAUUUUUUAUUUUUAAUUAAUUAAAUGUUUUUUCAUUUUUUAAAGUUUCACUGAAGCACAGUUGAUCCACAAUGUUGUGACAAUCUCCGCUGCAUGACAAAGUGACUCAGCCAUACGCAUACACACAUCCAUUCUUCCCUAGACUCCCCUCCCACACAGGUCACCACAGAACACCGGGGAGAGCUCCCUGCCCUACACAGCAGGUCUCUGUGGACCCUCCACCCACACACAAGAGUGUGCAUAUGCUAAACCCAAACCCUCAAUCCAUCCCUUCCCCCCAUUUGUCCCCUUUGACAACUCUAAGUUUGGGGGGUUUUUUGGUUUGUUUUGCUUUUUAAGGCCACACCCGCAGCAUAUGGAGGUUCCCAGGCUAGGGAUGGAAUCAGAGCUGCAGUGCCAGCCUAUGCCACAGCCACAGCAAUGCAGGAUACUUAACCCACUGAGCAAGGCCAGGGACUGAACCUGCACCCUCACAGUUCCUACUCGGAUUCCUUUCCACUGUGCCACAACGGGAACUGCUGUAAGUCUGUUUUCAAAACCUGUGCGUCUGUUUCUGUCUGCAAACAAGUUCACUUGCAUCACUUUUUUUUCUUUUAGAUUCCAUAUAUAAAUGGUGUCAUAUGAUGUUUGUCCCUAUCUGCCUGACCUACUUCACUUAGUGUGAUGAUCUCCAGGUCCAUCCACAUUGCUGCAAAUGGCAUUAUUUCAUUCUUUUUUAUGGUUGAGCAAUAUUCCACUGUAUACUUGUACAUCUUCUUCAUUCAUUGGUUUAUUUUUAUGUUUUUGGCCGUGUCUGAGGCAUACAGAAGUUCCCAGCUAGGGACUGAACCUAAGCCACGGCAGAGGCAAUGCCAAGUCUUUAAUUGCUAGCUCACCACCAGGGAACUCCAGAAAAAGAAAAAAAUCACUUUUUAAACUCCUGAUGUGAAAUCCCACUUAGAACUGGCUAGGGAUAUACAUUCUCAGUGAGGGCAUAUCUUCGUCCUCUGGUGAUAGGGUUCCUCUCCUCAGCCAUAUCCAGAGUCAUUCAGACACGAGUUUGGUCUUUUCCAGGUGGGGAAGAUGGCCUGGGGGGCGGGAAAGAGGCCAGCACAGGUGCAGCUGUAAAAUGUAAUAAAAGGGGGGUAUAUACAGAUUUCUUGACCUUGGGAGCUGCUACUGAAAGCCACUCUUAAGGAGGUCCCAGAAUGUUCUGAAUGACGGCUGGAGCCCCUGGAACAAGUGUUGAGAGAAAGAAGCACCAUGCUGCAAGCACACAGUAAAGAGGGGCAGCUGAUGUUUGCUGAGGAUUUACUAUGUGCUGGGCUUGGGGUUCAGUGUUUACAGGUGUAAAGUAAAUGUAAUGCUCAUGAUGCUACCUGGAUGAUAAGGAGUUAGAAUAGUCACUACUAUCAUUUUUUACCCCCAUUUGCAAAAAAGAAACUGAGGGAUUCGAACUUGUCUAGGACCUCAUGCCUAUGGGUGCAAAGGGCCAGGAUCUGGUCCCUGGCAGUCAGACCUCACAGCUCAAUUCUUACUCUGAACCUCCUGGCGCACGUGUUCCAGGAUGAGCCUGCAAAGCCCACCUGCCCUUCUCAAUGCUAUGAGGCAGCACCCCUGCCCCUGUUCUGUCCACCUGGACUGCCCAGCUCAGACUCAGAAUGCCCAUGUGUAUUAGUGCCAGGGCUGCCAGAACACACCGGAUGGCUUAAACAACCUCCCAAUUCUGGAGGCUGGAGGUUCAAGAUCAAGGUACCAGCAGGAUUGGUAUCUGGCAAGAGCACUCUUCCAGCUUCUCUGGCUUGUAGACGGCAGCCUUCCCUCUGUGUGCCACACAGCCUGGGGUCUCCUCCUCCUCUUCUUAUAAGGACAUCAGCCCUAUAGGAUUAGGAUCCCAACCGCAUUAUCUGAUUUAACCUUAAUUACCUCCUUCAAGGUCUCAUCUCCAAAUUCAGACACAAUAGGGCCUAUGGCUUUAACAUAUAAAUUGUGGGGGGGGGAGGUCCCCAAUCAGUUCAUAAUACCGAACUCUGCCCUGACUCCCAACAGACUGCUGACAGCUGCCAGACAGCCCUGCACUGUCCCCACAGCUCAUUCUCCAUGAAGGCUCUUCUGUCAUCAUGCCUUAUAUUAACAUUAUUCACAAGCAAGCUUUUUCUUACUAGACUAUGACUAUUUGGAGGUUACAGGCCAAUUUUCACUCAUCUGUGUAUACUGCCCCCUUUUUUUCACCUUUUAUAGCCGUACCUGUGGUGGUAUAUGGAAGUUCCCAGGCUAGGGAUCAAAUCAGAGCUGCACUGAGGCCUACACCAGGGCCACAGCCACACCGGAUCAGAGAUGUAUCUGUGACCUGCACUGCCUUUUGUGGUAACACCAGACCCUUAACCCACCGAGUGAGGGCAGGGAUCAAACCCAAAUCCUCACAGAGACAUUGGGUCCUUAACCUGCUGAACCAAAAUGGGAACCUCUAUCGCCCCUUUCCUUCAUUCAACUCCUUCUCACACAGCAUCCAAAAACUCGUUUGGGAAUCACCUACUAGGAGCUAGGCCCUGUGUCAGCCCUGGGACUUAAUGGGGCACUCCCAAACCCCAGGCCACUGGACCCCUCUCACCUCCUAUCCCCAAACCAGUCUAGGCAGGGGGCUCUUUUACACCUUCCCACUCAGGAGAAACAGCAUUAAUCCAAUGGGGCAGCUGUUUCUAAGCAAAGCUGUGUGUCUCCUCCCAGAAUACAAAAUUAUACAUGUGCCAACACGGGAAAUAAAUGUAUGCUUGUCAGACUCGUAGUCUCUCUUUACCCAGGAAACAGGUCUGCUUCCAUGAAAUAUUUCUAUCCACAAACAGAAAGGAACUGCCUCUUGGUGUUCUCAGGGAGGAAGAAGGUGGGCGUUGCUGAUCUCACUGAACCUCCUUCACUGAAGUAGAGAGCUAUGUAACUCACAGCGACUCUCUGUACCUCAGGGGGACAAAAAAAAGGGGGGGGGACAGAAACCUCAGCAGGCAAAACCGUGGGACCCCUGCCAGCC
rnacentral:lncRNA from 1 species